rnacentral:lncRNA from 1 species
AACUCCUUUGGGCAUCUCUAGUAGUCUUAUGUCCUUUGUGUACUGUGGCAACCAAAACUGCACACAUUAAUGAGUCGGUGCUAUUGCAGUGUAGAGUGAGACAAUCAUUUCCCUUACUUACUUCAGUCAUUCACAGAAAUACAUGUGAAGAGUCAGUAAACCAAGCUGCACCGGUACUUUCACCAUUACACAGGUUGGAUUUGUAGCACAGACACCUUGUAGACAUGCCUCAGCUGUCUCCAGAAGAACCGGUAAGGUGCCCAAGUGAAGUAUGAGGCUAAAGGAAACUAUACUGUAUGCAGAUACCACAGACAGCACAAUGAAUUCCUGAUGGCACUUCCCUCCUUCAAAACCUCUGAAAGGAAAGCACUCACUUCCCUUCUGAGAAUCAGUGCUUGCAGAACACCUCUCCAUGUCAUCACGUCUGACUUCUCAGGGCCCACAGAAGUUUGUGACUCCUUGUGCUGGAAGCACAGAUGAAAGCCACUCUCACAAAAUGGCAUGAUGUAUGAAUAACCCAAAUGACACACUGAUGGGACGGCUGAAAGAAAAAAAUGUAAUUACUGGUUGUUGACCUAUGGAGUACAAUGACUUCUAUCCAUCUAGAGCUUCUCCUCUGUCCUUCUUUUGUUACCUUUGACCUUUUUCCCCUCAAAUGUUCCCCUCUCAGGCACUGACUCUUCCCCUGUUUUCCAAGCCUUCUCACCCAGUAUCUGAGACCUUCCAUCCCUGUCUUCUGGCCAGGCCUCUGUAAAAAUGCUUUGAUCCUGAACAUAGCAACAAGGAGUAUGAAAUGCACUAAAAUAACCUUAAUACAAGAAUUUACACUUUGGGGCAACAGUCUUAUUUUUCUUCAGUCAUUUCUAUCUGCCUUUAAAAUAAGAGAGGAAAUGAUCUUUGCAUGCUAAGUCUCUUUGUGAAGAGAAUGAGCUCCCAAGGUCUGAAAAGUCUCAGUUCAAACCCAAGUUGCUGUGACUGCUCUGUCAGGCAAAUAUAUUAAGAUGAAGCAAUAAUAGGCAGAAAUAUUUUGAUAUCAGUUAAAGAAAAACACAU